rnacentral:rRNA from 1 species
AGAGUUUGAUCCUGGCUCACAACGAACGCUGGCGGCAGGCUUAACACAUGCAAGUCGAACGUGAAGCAGGAGCUUGCUCCUGUGGAAAGUGGCAGACGGGUGAGUAACGCGUGGGAAUCUACCCAGUGGUUCGGAAUAACGCAUGGAAACGUGUGCUAAUACCGGAUACGCCCUCCGGGGGAAAGAUUUAUCGCCAUUGGAUGAGCCCGCGUCGGAUUAGCUAGUUGGUGAGGUAAUGGCUCACCAAGGCGACGAUCCGUAGCUGGUCUGAGAGGAUGAUCAGCCACACUGGGACUGAGACACGGCCCAGACUCCUACGGGAGGCAGCAGUGGGGAAUAUUGCGCAAUGGGGGAAACCCUGACGCAGCCAUGCCGCGUGAGUGAAGAAGGCCUUAGGGUUGUAAAACUCUUUCAGUGGUGAAGAUAAUGACGGUAGCCACAGAAGAAGCCCCGGCCAACUCCGUGCCAGCAGCCGCGGUAAUACGGAGGGGGCUAGCGUUGUUCGGAAUUACUGGGCGUAAAGCGCGCGUAGGCGGGCUGGUUAGUUGGGGGUGAAAUCCCAGGGCUCAACCCCUGGACUGCCCUCAAUACUGCCAGUCUUGAGUUCCAGAGAGGUAAACGGAAUUCCUAGGGUAGAGGUGAAAUUCGUAAAUAUUAGGAAAGAACACCAGUGGGCGAAAGCGGGUUACUGGGUCCAUA